rnacentral:rRNA from 1 species
GAUGAACGCUGGCGGCGUGCCUAAUACAUGCAAGUCGAGCGAACGGACGAGAAGCUUGCUUCUCUGAUGUUAGCGGCGGACGGGUGAGUAACACGUGGAUAACCUACCUAUAAGACUGGGAUAACUUCGGGAAACCGGAGCUAAUACCGGAUAAUAUUUUGAACCGCAUGGUUCAACAAUAAAAUACGGUCUUGCUGUCACUUAUAGAUGGAUCCGCGCUGCAUUAGCUAGUUGGUAAGGUAACGGCUUACCAAGGCAACGAUGCAUAGCCGGCCUGAGAGGGUGAUCGGCCACACUGGAACUGAGACACGGUCCAGACUCCUACGGGAGGCAGCAGUAGGGAAUCUGACGCAAUGGGCGAAAGCCUGACGGAGCAACGCCGCGUGAGUGAUGAAGGUCUUCGGAUCGUAAAACUCUGUUAUGAGGGAAGAACAUAUGUGUAAGUAACUGUGCACAUCUUGACGGUACCUAAUCAGAAAGCCACGGCUAACUACGUG